UUCAUCAUUUUUAUUUUCAAUCCUAAUACAAUUAAAAUUUCUUAAAUUAAGGGAUUGAUAUUAAUGGGCUAACAUAACAAAUUAGUUUCGAUCUUCAUUCGGUCUCUCUCUAUCCGCCUUUACUAUUUCUCUCUCUUCUCCCUUACUACUUAUCUCUCUCCCAUACUACUUCUCUCUCUCCUCUCGAAGCCACUGGUCGUCGUUCUCUUCCGCCGCCGCCGCGAACAAUAC
rnacentral:lncRNA from 1 species